UGCACACCCUGGGGACUCGGUGCAGGAAGCUGGCCAGGGUGUGGAAGGUGGAUCAAGAUUUAGAGGAGGCAACUUUUCUGCCCUGCUCAGAGAAGUGGUUGGAAAACCCAGAGUAAACUGUAAGAAACCAACAUCAUAAAUGCAAGAAAGAUUACAAGUUGAUGAUUUUGAAAACAAAGAAGACUUGCUCACAUAAAUAGGCAUUUUCCCUCAGUCGUCAUGUGGCUGGAGGAGGGGAAGCCAAAGAGCUGCCAUUCUCCCAAAUGAUGCAUCUUGAGAAUGUGUCUCUGAACAUGGAGCAAGUGAGGCUGCUGCUCUGAAUUUCCAAGAAGAGGCAAGUGUAUCAUCCAGAGCGAUCUGGUGAAUGCAAGAGUCCAGUCAGCAACAAAAACAAACCUGUAAAACUGUAGAGCCCUGCGCAGGGGCACACAUCUGUAAUCCCAGUGGCUCAGGAGGCAGAGGCAAGAGGAUUGCAAGUUCAAAGUCAGCCUCAGCAAAAGCAAGGUGCUAAGCUACUCAGUGAGACCCUGACUCUAAAUAAAAUACAAAAUAAAGCCGGGGAUGUGACACA